UCUAUAGGAGUUCGGAGAAGAGAUGAAAAAUUCAGGGAAGGCUUUAAGAAAGAAGUGUGCUUGAACUCAACUUGGCAGUUUCAAUUAGAACUUGAAUAGAUUCAGAUGAAGAUGAAGGAAAACAAUUUUAAACCAAAUAUUGUAAGCCAGAAUGAGAGUGAUUUCCCAGAAGAGUAUGUAUAAGUGUAAACACUGGAGCUACUCGCUUAAAGGAUUAGACUGGACUUCACCUCAGACUCGUUAAACCGGACCCAGCAAGUUGGGAUGAUGCCUCGAACAGCCGGGCCUUUUCCUUCUCCGAGAUGAAGGAACUGAGACCAAGAGAAACUAUGAGUUGCCAAAGUCAUACUAGCUAAUAGAGGUAGGUAUUCUGUGUCUAAGAGUCAUACUAUCUAAUAGAGUCAGGUAUUCUGUAUUCAAAAAUUUCUGGCAGGUAAAUUUACUAGUUGCUACAAGGGAAUUCAAUUUAACAAGCAGGCACAUGUUGUGCAAAACCCCAUGC